GAUGAACGCUGGCGGUAUGCUUAACACAUGCAAGUCGAACGAACCUUCGGGUUAGUGGCGGACGGGUGAGUAACGCGUGGGAAUCUGCCCUCAGGAGGGGGAUAACGGUUGGAAACGACCGCUAAUACCCCAUAUGCCGAGAGGUGAAAUGAAUUUCGCCUGAGGAUGAGCCCGCGUCUGAUUAGCUUGUCGGUGAGGUAAUGGCUCACCAAGGCAUCGAUCAGUAGCUGGUCUGAGAGGAUGAUCAGCCACACUGGGACUGAGACACGGCCCAGACUCCUACGGGAGGCAGCAGUGGGGAAUUUUCCGCAAUGGGCGAAAGCCUGACGGAGCAACGCCGCGUGAGGGACGAAGGCCUCUGGGCUGUAAACCUCUUUUCUCAAGGAAGAAGAUAUGACGGUACUUGAGGAAUAAGCCACGGCUAAUUCCGUGCCAGCAGCCGCGGUAAUACGGGAGUGGCAAGCGUUAUCCGGAAUUAUUGGGCGUAAAGCGUCCGCAGGCGGCCUUUCAAGUCUGCUGUUAAAACGUGGAGCUUAACUCCAUCAUGGCAGUGGAAACUGAUUGGCUUGAGUAUGGUAGGGGCAGAGGGAAUUCCCGGUGUAGCGGUGAAAUGCGUAGAUAUCGGGAAGAACACCAGUGGCGAAGGCGCUCUGCUGGGCCAUUACUGACGCUCAUGGACGAAAGCCAGGGGAGCGAAAGGGAUUAGAUACCCCUGUAGUCCUGGCCGUAAACGAUGAACACUAGGUGUCGGGGGAAUCGACCCCUUCGGUGUCGUAGCUAACGCGUUAAGUGUUCCGCCUGGGGAGUACGCACGCAAGUGUGAAACUCAAAGGAAUUGACGGGGGCCCGCACAAGCGGUGGAGUAUGUGGUUUAAUUCGAUGCAACGCGAAGAACCUUACCAGGGCUUGACAUCCUGCGAACCUUUAAGAAAUUAGAGGGUGCCUUCGGGAACGCAGUGACAGGUGGUGCAUGGCUGUCGUCAGCUCGUGUCGUGAGAUGUUGGGUUAAGUCCCGCAACGAGCGCAACCCACGUUUUUAGUUGCCAGCAUUUAGUUGGGCACUCUAGAAAGACCGCCGGUGAUAAACCGGAGGAAGGUGUGGAUGACGUCAAGUCAUCAUGCCCCUUACGUCCUGGGCUACACACGUACUACAAUGCUACGGACAAAGGGCAGCAAACUCGCGAGAGCUAGCAAAUCCCAUAAACCGUGGCUCAGUUCAGAUCGUAGGCUGCAACUCGCCUACGUGAAGUAGGAAUCGCUAGUAAUCGCAGGUCAGCAUACUGCGGUGAAUACGUUCCCGGGCCUUGUACUCACCGCCCGUC
rnacentral:rRNA from 1 species